rnacentral:rRNA from 1 species
CAGUCGCCGCGGUAAUUCGGAGGGGGCUAGCGUUGUUCGGAAUUACUGGGCGUAAAGCGCACGUAGGCGGCUUGGUAAGUUAGAGGUGAAAGCCUGGAGCUCAACUCCAGAAUUGCCUUUAAGACUGCCGAGCUAGCAGGUGAGAGAGGUAAGUGGAAUUCCGAGUGUAGAGGUGAAAUUCGUAGAUAUUCGGAAGAACACCAGUGGCGAAGGCGGCUUACUGGCUCAUACUGGACGCUGAGGUGCGAAAGCGUGGGGAGCAAACAGGAUUAGAUACCCCUGUAGUCCCUGUCUCUUAUAC